UACAGAGGGUGCAAGCGUUAAUCGGAGUUACUGGGCGUAAAGGGCGCGUAGGCGGUUAUUUAAGUUUGAUGUGAAAUCCCUGGGCUUAACCUAGGAACUGCAUUGAAUACUGGGUAACUGGAGUACUGUAGAGGGUAGUGGAAUUUCCGGUGUAGCGGUGAAAUGCGUAGAGAUCGGAAGGAACACCAGUGGCGAAGGCGGCUACCUGGACAGAUACUGACGCUGAGGCGCGAGAGCGUAGGGAGCAAACAGG
rnacentral:rRNA from 1 species